AUGGGAGUACAACCGAACACAGUUGUUUAUCACUCCCUAGUUCAGGGCUUAUGUACACAUGGUGAUUUGGCGAAAGCGAAGGAGUUAGUUUCUGAAAUGAUGAACAAAGGUAUUGCUCGUCCAAACAUUGCAUUCUUCAGUUCAAUAAUGGGCAGUCUAUGCAAUGAAGGAAGGGUUAUGGAAGCACACCAUAUCUUUGACUUGGUUACAGACAUAGGUGAGAAACCUGAUAUCAUUAUGUUUACUAUGCUGAUUGAUGGAUAUUGCUUAGUCGGCAAAAUGGACAAAGCAUGCGGAGUACUUGAUGCCAUGGUAUCAGCUGGCAUUGAGCCUAAUGUCGUUACAUAUAAUCUAUGUUUU
rnacentral:rRNA from 1 species